CGCGGGGUGGAGCAGUUUGGUAGCUCGUCGGGCUCAUAACCCGAAGGUCGCAGGGUCGAGUCCUGCUCCCGCUACUA
rnacentral:tRNA from 1 species